GUGCUUGCUUCGGCAGCACAUAUACUAAAACUGGAACGAUACACAGAAGAUUAGCAUGGCCCCUGCACAAGUAUGACAUGCAAAUUCGUGAAGCGUUCCAUAUUUUU
ensembl:snRNA U6 U6 spliceosomal RNA